AUGGAGGCAAAUAAAAUAUACGAGCUAGGAAAAGGAUUGACUUACGCAGAAUUCCCUACAAAGUUUGUAUGGAAAAGCGAAACAAAAUGUUGGCAGAAGCGAAAAAGGGACUAUGCAAUUGGAAGAAUCUACUAUGCACAUCCCGCAAGUGGCGAGAGAUAUCAUACGAGGAUGCUUCUAAACACCAAGAAAGGAUGCACAUCAUUUGAGGACAUUAGCACCGUUGAUGGAGUCAUUCACCCAACAUACAAAUCAGCAUGCCAAGCCCUCGGAUUUCUCGAUGAUGACACCGAGUGGAUUGACUGUAUCAAUGAAGCAUUAAGUUGGGCGUCCGGAACACAACUGCGUCAGUUAUUCACCACCAUAUUGACCCAUUGCGAAGUCACAAACCCAAAGGUAUUGUGGGAUUCAACAUGGGAGGCGUUGUGUGAAGAUAUGCAAUACAAAAGAAGGACUAUUCUAAACUUUCCAACACUUCGGCUUACAAACACACAGAAGAAAGCGUAUGGUCUGAUUGAGAUAGAAAAACUGACGAGGCAAGUAGGAAAGUCACUAAAGGACUACCCAGACAUAGAACUACCAAAUGCCGCAGAGCUAGAAGAACUUGGGAACAGACUAAUAAACGAAGAGGUCAACCACGACAUGGACAAACUCAAGGAUGAGCACAAAAUCAUACUAAACAAUCUUAACCAAGACCAGAAAAAGGCCUAUGAUGCAAUAAUGGAGUCAGUCAACAAAGGCCUAGGAAAGCAGAUAUUUGUCGAAGGGUACGGUGGCACAGGAAAAACCUAUCUAUGGAAAGCAAUAACGACAAAGCUAAGAUCAGAGGGGAAGAUAGUGCUUGCGGUAGCAUCAUGUGGCAUUGCAGCGUUGCUUCUUCAAGGUGGAAGAACGGCACACUCAAGGUUCCAUAUUCCACUUAAUAUCAGUGAAGAAUCAACAUGUGAAAUAAAACAAGGCUUGCAUUUGGCUGAACUGCUAAAGAAGACCUCACUUAUAUUGUGGGACGAGGCUCCUAUGGCAAACAAACACUGCUUCGAGGCACUAGACAAAAGCCUUAGAGAUAAUCUAAGGUUCACUAAUGAAAACAGCGAUGAAAAGCCAUUUGGUGGAAUGACAGUUAUACUAGGAGGCGACUUCAGACAAAUCCUGCCAGUUAUAACCAAAGGAAGGAGAGAGCAGAUAGUAAAUGCUUCAAUCAAAAGGUCAUAUCUGUGA
rnacentral:rRNA from 1 species